AGCCCGGUUCAUCCCCUUGUUUCUCUUUUUCUUCUCGCGCUUUCUCGUCCUCGUGCACCGGACUACUUUCUCUUACGGCAAGGCCACCCCGAAAACACGCACUUUCCUAUCGAAUGCCCCCACCGCGAUCGGGGGCCCCGACACGAAGAAACCACCGUACAGGCAGAGGCCGCUCGCGAGCUCGACGCCGGACGCCGGCGAGAUAGCGGGGCCGCCUUCCCGGCCGCCGUGUUCCGGCCCCAACCUUUCCUCGUCGCUUUGCACGUUAUCGAAAGCUGCAGCCGCGGGCCGUCCUCCCACCGGCAGCGGGAACGCCACCGCGGGAUGCGGGACACGGAGGCCUCGCCGGUCACAGCCAGGAGACGACGAGGACGAUGGAUAGCCGCCGAGGCAGGGAGUAGUAGCCGCCGAGAGGCGACCAGACCAGCGCACGGUCUUCCGCGUCCAUUCAAGCCUGCACACAACACUGCGACCUCACUAAGAAAACAAGAAAGAACGAGAAUGUCUUGAAGGCAUGGAUAACGGCGGGACCAUCGUGUGCAGCCAAAACCAACGAGCGACCCUCCCGCUUCAAAGAACCAGGCAGCAGAUAAGCGAGCUGAAGCUGUCGUCAAACAACGCAGACAGGGGGUCAAGCGUUGGGUCUGCGAGCACAGGGACCGGGCCUAGUGAGGAGGAGGUGCGCCCGGGCUGCGAGCCGGAGCGGAGGAGAGGUGACCCCGAGCCGUGGCGUCGUCGUCGUCUCCCGGCCCGGGCCCACAGCCGCCGGGGCGAGAAAGAUAAUGUCAAGGUUCAGAGCGGCGUCCUGCUGCACGGAGGCAGAGCGCACGCCCGCGCGCUGUACUGCUGCUUCCGGGUUGCUGCUGCUACCGCCGCAGCUACCUGCGCUUGAACACCAUCGACUCGUACACGCGUUCGGCUGUUGAGAUUAUCUUUUAAUGCGACGGCAUUUAUUCACACUGCGAGAUUAUUUGUGAAAACGAGAGAACGCUUCCCGCUAUCUAGGUCGCGUGGUAUGCGCCCAGGAGUGCUGACCAACAGCUGACCCGGCUUCGCAUGUGCGUCUCUCUGUCCCCGUCCAAAGCCGAUUCCUGGGUCACCUCAUGCAUGAGACACAUUUCCAGUGUUUUGAAACGGCAUCCGCCACGCACAGAGAUGUGUUAACGCGCCCGUUUUCGUUGGUCCUUUUCACUGCAUCAUUAAUAACAAUUAAUAACGGAUAAUAUAUGCACUUCGCCGUAAAUUGCACAUGUGCAUUCACCACGAGUUCACGGGAAGAUGCCCCCUUUUUGCGAACUCGCGGCGAACACUACUGCGUUAACUACAGGAUUAAAAAAAAAACUGUGUUGCCCGUAACGCGAAUCAGUGGCGCGAUGAGCUGACGAAAUGCGCGCAGUGAGUCUUAGACUGUUCCGUGCGGUGUUUGUCGGGGUGAAGAUUCCCAAAUGCUAGCGAGCCAUCUCCUUCCGAGAAGUGAAAUAAAUGUGGGUUGCAUUCA